rnacentral:rRNA from 1 species
GACGAACCGAGCGAACGUUAUUCGGAAUCACUGGGCUUAAAGGGCGCGUAGGCGGGCCAUCAAGUCAGGGGUGAAAGCCCCCAGCUCAACUGGGGAAGUGCCUUUGAUACUGAUGGCCUCGAGGGAGGUAGGGGCGUGCGGAACUUCCGGUGGAGCGGUGAAAUGCGUAGAUAUCGGAAGGAACACCGGUGGCGAAAGCGGCGCGCUGGACCUCUUCUGACGCUGAGGCGCGAAAGCCAGGGGAGCAAACGGG